AGCAACUGUGCCCCCAUUAGCCAGGGGGAGGGAGGAGGAACACAAACGGAGCAAAUUUCAAAAUGUAUUCAAAGGGACUGGGAGGCAGAGAGAGCCCUUAUGUCUCUCUUGAAGAAGAUACAUCAGGGAGGAGAAAGGAGACAGUACUAACCUGAACACCUUCAAAUCCAUUCGAGGCUAAAUAACGCUCACAUUCAAGAGCAACAUCAGUCCAGUGCCAUUCAAAGAGAUGGACAAUAGAUGUCUUUACAGGCUUCGGAUUUGACUUGUACUGGGUCCAGCAAAGUCCAAAGACUGCUAAGAGAAGAAGCAACAGGCUCUUCAUGUUGUCUUUGUCCCUUGGUGCCUUUCUUCUCAACAAUCUUUUACAUUCCUGUGGGAGAACAAAGCACUUUUUAUCAAUUUCAUACCUCAAAUGCCAUCUUACUCCCAGGAUAUUGUUUGAAAGCAAAGCAAUCACAGGGAAGAUGUACCACAGCCUGAACUUAAAAAAUCAACAAGCUAGAAGAAUCCACUUUUGUUUGUUUUCAUGUGGUCAAUAAAUGCGGUAAGUUCAGAGGUC